rnacentral:rRNA from 1 species
GAGGGCAGUCUGGUGCCAGCAGCCGCGGUAAUUCCAGCUCCAAUAGCGUAUAUUAAAGCUGCUGCGGUUGAACCGCUCGUAGUUGGAUUGCGAUUUUCGGCCACGGUCCUCUAAGUCAAGAGGAUUGGCUCUGCCGCCGUUGGUCAUGAUCGGUAUUGCCAUGGUUGUCCUUGAUGCUCUUUACCGAGUGUCCUGGGUAACGUGGACGUUUACUUUGAGAAAAUAAGAGCGCUCAAAGCAGGCUGCUCAUUGCUUGAACGGAAUUUCAUGGGAUAGUGAAAGAUGAUCUCGCUGGUAUUGAAAAAACCACGAGGUAAUGAUUAACAGAGACAGACGGUGGCAUUCGUACUGCUACGUUAGAGGUGAAAUUCUUGGAUCGUAGCAAGACGAACAAUUGCGAAAGCAUUUGCCAAGAAUGUUUUCAUUAAUCAAGAACGAAAGUUGGAGGAUCGAAGGCGAUCAGAUACCGCCCUAGUUGCGACUUUAAACGAUGCCAACUAGCGAUUCGGCGAUGUCUUACAAAUGACUCGCUGAGCAGCUCCCGGGAAACCAAAGUCUUUCGGUUCCGGGGGAAGUAUGGUUGCAAAGCUGAAACUUAAAGGAAUUGACGGAAGGGCACCACCAGGAGUGGAGCAUGCGGCUUAAUUUGACUCAACACGGGAAAGCUCACCCGUCCCGAACACUGUCAGGAUUGACAGAUUGAGAGCUCUUUCUUGAUUCAGUGGGUAGUGGUGCAUGGCCGUUCUUAGUUGGUGGAGCGAUUUGUCUGGCCAAUCCCGAUAACGAACGAGACUCUGGCCUGCUAAAUAGUGACGGUACAAAUCUAUUGCCGAGCACUUCUUAGAGGGACAAGCGGCGGUACGAAGCCGCACGAGAAAGAGCAAUAACAGGUCUGUGAUGCCCUUAGAUGGACGGGGCUGCACGCGUGCUACACUGAUGGCAUCAGCGUGCGUUCAAGCCUGGCUUGAAGAGGCCAGGUAAUCGAUUGAAAUGUCCGUUGUGACUGGGACAGGGAAUUGCAAUUAUUUCCCUCGAACGAGGAAUUCCCAGUAAGCGCGAGUCAUCAGCUUGCGUUGACUACGUCCCUGCCCUUUGUACCACCGCCCGUCGCUA